UGGUGGCCAGGAUUGGGGGCCAUAAGUGUCCAAAUGUAGUGGCCCCAAGUGUCAGGUCCUUGGUGGCCCCAAGUGUCCAGAUUUGGUGGCCCCAAGCACCCAGAUCCUUGGUGGCCCCAUGGAAGUCAGGUGGCCACAAAUGUCCAUAUCUGGUGGCCCCAAACACCCAGUUCUUGGUGGCUUCAUUGAAAUCUGGUGGCCUCAAGUGUCCUGAUUCAGUGGCCCCAAGUGCCGGGGUCCUUGGUGGCCCCAAGUGUCCAGAUCUGGUGUCCCCAAGCACCCAGAUUCCUUGGUGGCCCCAUUGAAGUCAGGUGGCCACAAGUGUUCAGAUCCUGUGACUUCAAUCCCACAGCUCCUUGGUGGCCCCACUGGGGACCGGUGGCCCUAAACGUCCAGAUUUGGUGGCCCCAAGUAUCAGGGUCCUUGGUGGCCCCAAUUGUCCAGAUCUGGUGGCUCCAAGCUCCUUGUUCCUGAUGGCCCCAUUGAAGUCUGGUGGCCCCAAGCACCCAGCUUUUGGUGGCUUCAUUGAAAUCUGGUGGCCUCAAGUGUCCUGAUUUAGUGGCCCCAAGUGUUGGGGUCCUUGGUGGCCCCAAGUGUCCAGAUCUGGUGUCCCCAAGCACCCAGAUCCUUGGUGGCCCCAUUGGAGUCAGGUGGCUCCAAGUGUUCAGAUCCUUGUUGGCCACAAAUGUCCAGAUCUGGUGACUUCAAUCCCACAGCUCCUUGGUGGCCCCACUGGGGACCGGUGGCCCCAAAUGUCCAGAUUUGUUGGCCCCAAGUAUCAGGGUCUUUGGUGGCCCCAAGUGUCCAGAUCUGGUGGCUCCAAGCUCCUUGUUCCUGAUGGCCCCUUUGAAGUCUGGUGGCCCCAAGCACCCAGCUUUUGGUGGCUUCAUUGAAAUCUGGUGGCCUCAAGUGUCCUGAUUCAGUGGCCCCAAGUGCCGGGGUCCUUGGUGGCCCCAAGUGUCCAGAUCUGGUGUCCCCAAGCACCCAGAUUCCUUGGUGGCCCCAUUGGAGUCAGGUGGCCUCAAGUGUCCAGUUCCUUGUUGGCCACAAAUGUCCAGAUCUGGUGACCUCAAUCCCACAGCUCCUUGGUGGCCCCAUUGGGGACUGGUGGCCCCAAAUGUCCAGAUUUGUUGGCCCCAAGUAUCAGGGUCUUUGGUGGCCCCAAGUGU